GCCAUGCCGCGUGCAGGAAGACGGCCCUAUGGGUUGUAAACUGCUUUUAUACAGGAAGAAACACUCGUACGUGUACGAGCUUGACGGUACUGUAAGAAUAAGGACCGGCUAACUCCGUGCCAGCAGCCGCGGUAAUACGGAGGGUCCGAGCGUUAUCCGGAAUCAUUGGGUUUAAAGGGUCCGCAGGCGGUCAAUUAAGUCAGAGGUGAAAUCCCAUAGCUUAACUAUGGAACUGCCUUUGAUACUGGUUGACUUGAGUCAUAUGGAAGUAGAUAGAAUGUGUAGUGUAGCGGUGAAAUGCAUAGAUAUUACACAGAAUACCGAUUGCGAAGGCAGUCUACUACGUAUGUACUGACGCUGAGGGACGAAAGCGUGGGGAGCGAACAGGAUUAGAUACCCUGGUAGUCCACGCCGUAAACGAUGGAUACUAGUUGUUGGGAUUUAUCUCAGUGACUAAGCGAAAGUGAUAAGUAUCCCACCUGGGGAGUACGGUCGCAAGACUGAAACUCAAAGGAAUUGACGGGGGCCCGCACAAGCGGUGGAGCAUGUGGUUUAAUUCGAUGAUACGCGAGGAACCUUACCAGGGCUUAAAUGUAGUCUGACAGCUUUAGAGAUAGAGUUUUCUUCGGACAGAUUACAAGGUGCUGCAUGGUUGUCGUCAGCUCGUGCCGUGAGGUGUCAGGUUAAGUCCUAUAACGAGCGCAACCCCUGUUGUUAGUUGCCAGCAUGUAAAGAUGGGAACUCUAACAAGACUGCCAGUGCAAACUGUGAGGAAGGUGGGGAUGACGUCAAAUCAUCACGGCCCUUACAUCCUGGG
rnacentral:rRNA from 1 species